rnacentral:rRNA from 1 species
UACGUAGGGGGCAAGCGUUGUCCGGAAUUAUUGGGCGUAAAGAGCGUGUAGGCGGCCCGGUAAGUCCGCUGUGAAAGUCCAGGGCUCAACCCUGGGAUGCCGGUGGAUACUGUCGGGCUCGAGUCCGGAAGAGGAGUGUGGAAUUCCUGGUGUAGCGGUGAAAUGCGCAGAUAUCAGGAGGAACACCGGUGGCGAAGGCGGGGCUCUGGGCCGAUACUGACGCUGAGGAGCGAAAGCGUGGGGAGCAAACAGG